UACGGAGGGGGCUAGCGUUGUUCGGAAUUACUGGGCGUAAAGGGCGCGCAGGCGGCUGCUCAAGUCAGGCGUGAAAGGCCUGGGCUCAACCCGGGAAUUGCGCUUGAGACUGGGCUGGCUUGAGUGCGGGAGAGGAUGGUGGAAUUCCCAGUGUAGAGGUGAAAUUCGUAGAUAUUGGGAAGAACACCGGUGGCGAAGGCGGCCAUCUGGACCGCAACUGACGCUGAGGCGCGAAAGCGUGGGGAGCGAACAGG
rnacentral:rRNA from 1 species